rnacentral:tRNA from 1 species
GACUGGGUGGCUCAGUUGGUUAGAGUGCUGUCCUGAUAUGCCAGUGGUUGCAGGUUUGAUACCUGGUCAGGGCA